GUACCUGUGGCUGAGUGGUAAAAGCGAUGGGCUCAUAAUCCAUUUUUCAAAAGUUCAAUUCUUUUCAGGUAUA
rfam:Cyclospora cayetanensis strain CHN_HEN01 contig_542, whole genome shotgun sequence.